rnacentral:rRNA from 1 species
CGCUCAGAGGUAAACGGGUGGAGUUGAACUGCGAACCCCGAGAAUUCAACUGGUGAGUGUGGUAUGAGCUUGGCAUAAUGGUUGGCUUUGCGGGUCUGCUUAGCUGCAGGUCUUCACCUCUUGGUGGAGAUGCGCGAUACACUUGUCAAGUGGUGCGCGCUCGUUGAGUUACUCGGACAUGCUUGCCAGUGCACUUUCUCGGGGUGUUCACCACGACCGGCGCCGCUACUUGUCUAAUAUGGUUAAACCGGUCUUGCUUGGUCCUUGUGGCUUUGCUUGAUCGGGAUGGCAGGUAACUCGUUAACUUGUGUGUUGGCUUCGGUUGACAUGCGCUUGGUUUUCGAGUGUAAUCAGCUGACUGUAUUGGUGCUAUGUAGUGCGUCGGAGACGGCGGCUUGUGGUGUGUGCCUGCGUGCCUAUUUGCUGACGGAACCGGGUUUGGUUAUUUUGUUGCCUGUUCUGCAGGCCUGGUGAUGGCCCGGUUUCGCUUGGUGGAUGGGGGCGUGUGUGACACUUAUCAGGGCCUAUAGUCUGUGGUGUUGUGGUAGACUAUCCACCUGACCCGUCU